GCGGCCGCCGGGCCAACAGCCCUGGUCCCGUAGCGGCCGGGCGGCCGGCCGAAUGUUCGUCCAUCUCCUGUCCCUGGACGAGCAGCUUGGACCGGCCGCCGCACC
rnacentral:sRNA from 1 species